UGGGGAAUUUUGGACAAUGGGCGAAAGUCUGAUCUAGCAACACCGCGUGUGCGAAGAAGGCCUUCGGGUUGUAAAGCACUUUUUGGAAGGAUUAGGAAGGAAUGUACUUCCAGAAUAAGUCUCGGCUAACUACGUGCCAGCAGCCGCGGUAACACGUAGGAGGCAAACGUUAUCCGGAUUUACUGGGCGUAAAGCGCGUGUAGGUGGUUCUGUAAGUAGGGCGUGAAAGCUCCUGGCUCAACUGGGAGAGGCCGUUCUAAACUGCAGAGCUAGAAGAUGGUAGAGGGAGGUGGAAUUCCGGGUGUAGCGGUGGAAUGCGCAGAUAUCCGGAGGAACACCAGUGGCGAAAGCGGCCUCCUGGACCAUUCCUGACACUCAGACGCGAAAGCUAGGGUAGCAAACG
rnacentral:rRNA from 1 species